CGAGCCUCGUGCUCUUCUCGAAUUUUCUUCCUUCUCAAUUUUCAUCUCGUGAGUGUAGCAACAUGAAUUAUAGCUUGUCAAGCAAUACAUUUUCUCAGCGUUGAGAAGAUUCUGCUCCAUUUUUUCUGAUUAUGGAUUCUGUUCAGAAGGAAGCCGAAUUUUAAGUCAUCGUUCUAGGAUAGAUUCAGCUCCAUUUUCUCUGGUGGUAGAUCUCCAUGGAUGCUAUUGAGAAGGUACUUCUCAAAGUCCACGAGGACAAGGACAUCUUUCCACCGAAUGCCACCUGGUUUAUAACAAAAGCAUGAAAAACAAACAGGAAUUUCUCAAUGCAGAAAGGACUGAAGCUGUCAAAGGUGUGCUUUUUUUCUGCACAAACAAGUUUCCAUUGAAUGAUAGAAUAAAGAGAUACUGACUUCCCCGGAGCCUCCAAACUUGAGUAGUCAGCAGGCAUUGGGAUCCGUGGAAGGCUUGUUAAAUCCAAAUAGAUUGGUCCUACUCCAUCCGCAGAGUUGCUGACGAGGUGCGUCCAGGCCUUCUCCUCACCUCUCAGGGAGAUAUACCAUGCAGUGCCUUCAGUUAUGGUGUUGUGACUGAGGAUGCUUCGGUCAGACAUGUCCCUGAAAACCUGCAUAGAGCUGCACUUCAAGGGAAGUUAUUGAAUAUGUCCUAUCCAACUAAAACAAGGAAAUGAUGAAAAAAAUAAAAUCACUUUCCAGAGGCCUCAGGGCUAACUGGAGACAGAGCUCAGACUGCAACUGAGAAAAGUUGGACUCCAAAACCUGUACUCUGAGCUUUACUGCAUGAGAAAGUUAUUGAAAUGUGCCUUGUGACAUUCAGAAUAAGUGACUUUUCAGAGGUCUCAGAGUCAGUAAGAGACAGAACUCAGAUUGUAACCAAGAAGAGCUGAACUCCAAACUUCUGUGUCCGGAAUUGGUGGGUUCUUGGUCUCACUGACUUCAAGAAUGAAGCGGCAGACCCUCGCGCAUACCUGCCAUGCAAGAAAUGUGAAAAGUUCUUCGGAGAGAAGGAAAAUUAUAUAGGUCAGAAACUGAGACCUACAUAAGGAAAGAAGAGCAUUGGAUGAAGAAGAAAUAAAUAAAGAUGCAAUGGAUUAAGACUCUUGACUAGAAUAAUCUGAAGCAUUCUGCGUGAAUUUGUGACCAAAGAAACCAAAAAUCAGGCUACCUUUGACAAUGUCAAAUUACAGUGAACUGUGGAGUCGAUUAUACCUCUCAUAUUUCUUUAUUAUGUUAAAUGCUUAAUUAUUUGCUUGAUUCUGUCUUUGUCAUAGUCCUUUAUUACAAUGACGUCUUAUUUAAGUAAAAGAAUUCCAAAUACAUAGAAAACAAAAGCAUUUGUUUUAUUUCAAAAUAAUGAAGAAACAUAAUAGGUUAUACAACUUUUCAAGAGACCAUUAUGCUGUUAAAUCAUUUAUAUAUCUUCUCUUUAUUUGGACUCAGAAAAUAUGGACAUUAUAAUGCAAAAAGUUACUGAAAAAUCAAUGUCAGCAUCAUCUGAACUCUUUUCCCCUAAUCUAAUCUAGGCAUUUGGAUUACCCAUUUCUAAGCACAUCAGUGGUUUUUGAAUGUCAGUAGCACCCUGCUUAAUCAAUAAGCCUUUAUUUGGCUCAAUGAACUGCUGAUACGUACUUUUACAUAUUCAAAAUCUGUCCCUCAGUAUGGAUACUAACUAGAUCUUUUUUGAAUGAGAAGGUCAGGUCAGGCUCCCCCUUGGCAAUGAUACCAGCUCCCUCAGAUUCUCAUUAAUGGAACCAUGUGCUCACUGAACAAAGAAUGCUUACAGAAAAAAAAAAGAAUAUUGACGUCAGUGUAUAUUAUAUUCCUUAAAAAUAUUUAUAAACGAGCAUUCGUUAUAGAAGCAAGGAACAUGACAGCUUAUUGAUUAUGCAAAUAUGUUCCUUGUACGCUUUUAAAAUAAAUCAAUUAGUGCAAGAGUUGGCAAAGUCUUCCUUAAAGGGCAAGAUUAUUAAAAUAUUAGGCUUUGCUGGCCAUUUGGUCUGUCACAACUAAUUAACUCUGCUGUCGUAAUGGGAAAACAGCCACAGACAAUAUGUGAAAUAAUGGAUGUGGCUGUAUUUCAAUAAAACUUUGUUUAGAGAAACAGGUGGUGGGACAGUGUGUUGAUCCCUGAACUAAUGGGAUAAAAUAUAACUUAAAUAUAAUAUGCAUGUAUGUACAUAUGUUUCUGUUUACAAAAUAGAAUUGAGUGUCUCUUUCAGCUAAUUGAGCACCAUAAUGUAAACCUACAAGAGGUACGAGAGAAUUUCGUAUAUGUAUUUGAAGUCUUGACACUGCUAAAUCUUUUGUUUGUAAUUGGCAUGCCAUGUUGGAAGACAUAAUAGAGAAACUGUCUAUCCAUGCGUCCUUUACUUAAGAAAACUAAACUCUUCUCUGAAGUUAUGUGGUAUAGAUUUUUCCUAAAGGAAGCCAACCAGUUGAAAGAUCAAGCUAUGCAUUAACUCAUCACACUUUAAAUAAGUAAAUAAAUAAAUAACUCACCUAGUUCAUUGUUUGGAUGGUUUAUUGGAUGUGAGAUACUUCAUACUGUCCUGACACAGAGUUUAUUACCUAUGUAAGAGAAGGCACAUAUGGUUAGGUUUCAAGAGAUAUUCUAAUUGUUUCCUGUGGUGAUGUUUGAACUCUACAGUCAAAUUCAGAUGCAUUUAAUUUGGUAAGGUAGACAAUUGGUUAAAUGUUUGGUGUCAAAGUAAGAAAUACAUAGUGAAUUGAUGGAGAGGAAUGUUCUUAAAGUGGUCUAUACAGAUUGACCCUAAAAUCAACCUCACCUUUAUAUCAACCUCGUCUUUGAAAAGAUUGCAGCCCCAAGGACUUUGAUUAUUUUUCUUCAUGACCUCUCUGGGUACCUGAUAAUAGGAAUAGACACACGAAAAAAAACCUGAUAAUGUUACUCUGGUGUAAUCACAACUACUUCUGCUCUAUUAAAACUACCAUGCGAUAUGACCACUUUUACAGUCAUUUGUUAACUUUCUCUUUUAUCAUCAAAGUUGUACUGCACAUACUCAAAACUGACAGCUACAAUAGAGUGGCCCAUAUAUUCUCUGAGAUCAAGACAGAAACAUUACUCAUCAAAUUCUAAUCUAGUGUCACAUAGGAGAAAUACAACUAGCCAGUGAGACUCUCACUGCUAUCUGGCUCACAGAAACAGAUAGAGCAACUUCUCAUCUAUUAUUGAAGCAUUGCAGAAAUUGUGGUGCAGUGUAUGUGCCUACACUAUAAAGUAGCUAGGCUUGCACUUUUUAUGUGUGUUUGGCCAUAUAAUUCAUCUGGGCCUAGUAUCAACUCAGGACAUGGAUAUACUUUUUAAAGUAAUUGAGUAAUGUAUAUCUUUAAAAGCAAUCUCGUUAGAGCUUUAGGACAUUUCUAACAAAGCAAUGAAAUGUAGAGAUCUUAAUACAUUUCUAUGACUAUGAAUGUAAAUAAUAUAUGUUAUUUAAUAUUUUUCACAUGAAAAGAAAAUACUAACCCAGAAUGAAAAUGUAUCAAUAAUCCUGAGUAAAUUAAUCUAACAACAAUGAAUGUUUUGUGGUGCAUAUUUGGCAAAGCCUUCAAAUUUGUCAGACCUUUACAAAUCAUUUUCUUAUGUAGAGUCAUUGCUGUGUUUUGUAAUAAAUUUUGAAAACUGGCUUUAUGGAAUAAAAUAAAAAGCAAAUUUAUUAACUUUUUUGUAAAAGCUUUUCAAUGGUUUCACUAACUAUUUAAAAACAAAAAUAAAUAACCUUUGAGAUUGCUAUAUCAUUGAGAUUAUUUUAAAAGUCUCUUGAAAGUACUUAUACCUUAUUUGGUAUUAUAAAGAGGUUUCUAUAAAAAGUUACUUGUAUUUUGUGUCCCAAAUAAUUCAACAACAUAUUUAUUCAUUCUGCAAACAAACGAUAGCUGUUCCCUAAAGCAAUAUUUAUUAGAAAACUUAGGAAACCUGAGCAAAAUAUUGACUGAAGACAAACACAUUUAUAAUCAAUUAAAGAUAAAAAAGUUAACUUUUUACAAGAUGGACUAAAGAUUUAAAUGUAAGACCUCAAACUAUAAAAAUCUGAGAAGAAAACUGAGUAAAUACCCUUCUCGGUGUGAGCUUUGGCAAAAAAAAAAAAAAAAAAAAUUAUGGCUAAGAACCCAAAAGCAAUUGAAACAAAACCAAAAAUUGACAAGGGAGCCUAAUUCAACUAAAGAGCUUCAGCAUAGCAAAAAGAAUUAUGAACAGAAUAAACAGGCAGCCUACAGAAUGGGAGAAAAUGUUUCCAAGCUAUACAUCCAACAAAGGUCUAAUAGAGCCUAGAAGGAACUUAACAAGCAAAAAACAAUCCAAUUAAAAUGUGGUCAAAGGACAUGAACAGACACUUCUCAAAAUAAGACAUGCAGGUGGCCAACAAACAUGAAAAAAUGCUCAUGAACACUAAUCAUCAGAGAAAUACAAAUUAAAACCAAAAUAGAAUACCAUCUCACACCGGUCAGAAUGGCUAUUACCAAAAAGUCAAAAAAUAACAGAUGCUGGCAAAACUGCAGAGAAAAGGGAAUGCUUACACACUGUUUGUGGGAAUGCAAAUUGGUUCAACCACUGUGGAAAGCAGUUUGGAGAUUCCUCAAAGAUUUGAAAACAGACCUACCACUCGACACAGCAAUCCCAUUACUGGAUAUAUACUCAAAGGAAAAUACAUCUCUCAACCAAAAACAAACAUUCACUCAUAUGUCUUUGUCAGUGCUAUUCACAAUAGCAAAGACGCAGAAACAAUAUAGGGACCCAACAAUGGUGGACUGGAUUUUAAAAAUGUAGUACAUAUACACCAUGAAAUACUGUGUAGCCAUACAAAGAAUGAAAUAAUCUAUUUUGCAGCAACAUGGAGGCAACUGGAGGCCAUUAUCUUAAGAAAAUUAACUCAGGAACAGAAAAUUAAAUGCUAUAUGUUCUGAUAUAUAAAUGGAAGGUAAACAUUGAGUACAUGUGGACUUAAAGAUGGGAGCAAUAGAAACUAAGGACUACUAGAUAGGAGAAGGAGGGAGGUGAAUGGGCUGAAAAACAACCUAUUGGGUACUGUCUGGGUGGGAUCAUGUGUACCCCAAACUUCAGCAUCACACAGUAUACACAUAUACACACAUAUAUACACACAUAUGUAUAUACACAUAUAUGUAAUAUAUCAAUACACAUAUAUGUAAAUGUAUGUGUAUAUAUGUAAAUAUGUAAAUAUAUGUAUAUAUGUGUGUGUAAAUAUAUGUAUACAUGUAUAUGUGUGUAAAUAUAUGUAUGUAUACAUAUAUGUAUAUGUGUGAAUAUGUAUGUGUAUAUGUAAAUAUAUGUAUAUAUACAUAUGUAUACAUGUAAAUGUAUGUGUGUACGUGCAUAUGUAAACACACAUAUGCAUAUAUGUAAAUAUAUGCAUAUGUAAAUACAUAAAUGCAUAUUUAUGUAAAUACAUGUAAAUAUGCAAACACACAGAUGCAUGUUUAUGUAAAUAUAUGUAAAUACAUAAUGUGCAAAGCGCAUGUAUAUGUAAAUAUAUGUAAAUAUGCAUAUAUGUAAAUGUGCAUGUAUACACAUGUAUGCAUGUAAAUGUGUAUGGCUAUAAACAUACGCAUAUAUGUAAAUAUAUACGUAUAUGUAAAUAUAUGUAAAUAUAUUUACAUAUAUACAUAUUCACGUUAUGCAUAUAUGUAAAUAUAUUUACAUAUACACAUACAUAUUCACACAUAUACAUAUAUGUAUACAUACAUAUAUUUACACACAUAUACAUGUAUACAUAUAUUUACACACACAUAUACAUAUACAUUUACAUAUAUGUAAAUUGAUAUAUUACAUAUACGUAUAUGUAUAUAUUUACAUAUCUGUAUAUAGAUGUAUUUACAUAUGCAUAUAUGUAUAUAUUUACAUAUAUUUACAUGUAUACAUAUAUGCAUAUAUAUAUAAAUAUAAAUACAAACCUGUCCAUGUACCCUCUAAAUCCAAAAUAAAAGUGGGGUAAAAAGGCUUAACUUUUCACAGAUUAUCUUCAAAGUGACCACUAAUGGAUAUACUUCCACACACAGAAAAAUAAACCCAGAAAGAGGAAAUUGAAUGAAAGAAGAAAUGACGAAAGAGAAAAUGGUUAAAUCUAAACAAGUUGUGAGGCUGGCACGGUGUCUCACGCCUGUAAUCCCAUCACUUUGGGAGGCCGAGGUGGGAAGAUCUCUUGAGACCAGGAGUUUCAGUCCAGUCUGGCCAACAUGGUGACACUCUGUCUAUACUAAAAAUACAAAAAUUAGCCGAGUGUGGUGGUGUGUGCCUGUAGUCCCAGUUACUUGGGAGGCUGAGGCAGGAGACUCACUUGAACCCAGGAAGUGGUGGUUACAGUGAGCCAAGAUUGCACCACUGCGCUCCAGCCUGGGCGACAGAGUGAGACUCUGUCCCAAAAAUAAAUAAAUAAAUAAAUAAAUAAAUAAAUAAAUAAAUAAAUGUAAACAUGUGAGAUUUUAAAAUAUUGUAGUAAAGUUUGGAAUUGUUUAAAAGCAAAACUUAAUGAAAAGACUAGGAAAAAUAGAGGGAUGAAUGGUAGACGAUAUUUGAAUAAAUUCUGUCAUGUAAGGGAUGAGAAAAAUCAUGGGCGCACUCUAAAUUUGUGAAUUAAAUAUAAAAUUAAUAUGGAUGUUUAAUGUUAAGGACCUCGAUUAAAACGGAAUAAUAGAAUGCGGGAAGAAAAUUAAUAUGAAACCAAAGCAUGACAAUUUUUUAAAAUAGUAAAAUAAAUACAUAUAUUAUAAAAUGAGAAUUAUAAAUUGAUUAAAUUCAUUCAUUAGAAGACAUUAAGAAACUAGAGUCUUGAAAAUUAGAUGUGUGUGGCUUAUUAAGAGAAACCCCAAAAGCAAACUGACAGAUACAUUUGAAUCAUCAGGGUUGGAAGGCAAUAUGUAUCUGACAAACUAAACAAAUAGAAGAUAAUAAGAUAAUAUGUAAUAUUACAUAAAAUACAAUUUCACAUGCCAAGAAUCCAUAAUAAUAAAACUAAUGAUAACUAUAAUAUAAUAAGAGCCAACAUUUAUGAUAAAUACAUGGCAAUUAUAAAUUUGUACAAAGCUAAGAGCUUAUCUUCAAAAUAUAUAACAUGAAAUAGCAUUAAAAAAGUAUAAUAAAAACAAAAAAAAUUAAAAAAUGAAAUUUUAAAUGUGUUACCCUAUUUGAAGGUUUUAAGAAAGUUUUCUUAGAAUAUAAUAUAUUGUACAUAAAUAAGCAUAAAUAUAGG
rnacentral:lncRNA from 1 species